UGGGGAAUUUUGGACAAUGGGCGAAAGCCUGAUCCAGCCAUGCCGCGUGUGUGAAGAAGGUCUUCGGAUUGUAAAGCACUUUAAGUUGGGAGGAAGGGCAGUUACCUAAUACGUGAUUGUUUUGACGUUACCGACAGAAUAAGCACCGGCUAACUCUGUGCCAGCAGCCGCGGUAAUACAGAGGGUGCAAGCGUUAAUCGGAAUUACUGGGCGUAAAGCGCGCGUAGGUGGUUCGUUAAGUUGGAUGUGAAAUCCCCGGGCUCAACCUGGGAACUGCAUUCAAAACUGACGAGCUAGAGUAUGGUAGAGGGUGGUGGAAUUUCCUGUGUAGCGGUGAAAUGCGUAGAUAUAGGAAGGAACACCAGUGGCGAAGGCGACCACCUGGACUGAUACUGACACUGAGGUGCGAAAGCGUGGGGAGCAAACAGGAUUAGAUACCCCCGUAGUCCCUGAGCGGGCUGGCAAG
rnacentral:rRNA from 1 species